rnacentral:rRNA from 1 species
UGCGUUCCCGGACCUUGCACACACCGCCCGUCAAGCCAUGGAAGCUGGGUGUACCUAAAGUCGGUAACCGCAAGGAGCCGCCUAGGGUAAAACUAGUGACUGGGGCU